GGCCUCGUAGCUCAGCUGGCAGAGCAUGCGCGUACAAAGCGUAGGCGGCGUCCANGUUCGAAUCCCACCGAGGCUA
rnacentral:tRNA from 1 species